rnacentral:lncRNA from 1 species
GGUCUGUAGAAUUGUGGAGGCCCCACUAUGACAGGAUUGUCAUCUAAAUGGGGAAAGGGGAGAAAAACAUGUUCUUUCACUCAAGAGUUUUUAAAAAAUGCAGCCAGGCUAGGAAAGUCUGAGCUUAAAUAGCUGCUUCUAACAAUAGGGAAGCAGGGAAGAGGGGGAGAGAGGCCUCAGGGAGAAUUCUCUGGAGGAGAUUGAAAGCUGAAGAUUUGCAAAGAGGAGAAACAGGAGAAGCAACACAUCUGCAGGGAAGGGGAAAGGGCUGAGCAGAGAGGGCGUCUGUGACCGGAGGGAAAAUGUCUUCAGGAAGGCAGAGCUUGGGAAGAGGCUUGCCGUAGCACUGGCCAUCUCUACACCACUCACUGCCAACUGCAGUGCCACUUGGGAAGAGCAGGAAGCUUCAGGCUCAGCUUGAGGACUGCUUGAAGUGGGGCAGGUGUGGCGCCCAAGGUCCCAAGGGGUGGUGUCUGCCGUCGGACUGUCCUGUGGCAGGGGUCAGCUGGAUGAGGAGAUUGGGCUGACGAAACCUCAAGGCAGUGGAGGACUGUUCCUCCUGUUAUUGGAGGCAUCCCAUGGGAGAAGGGAAAGAGUUCGUAAGUGUGAUGUGUUCACAGACCCAAAAGCAAGGAUUUGGCCUGGAUGCAGCCUGGGGCUUUAUCUGGUAUGGGGUGGGGGUGGGUGGGUGAGGUCUCUGCAGGCAGGCAGCCACAGGUGGCAGCAAUUCCUCGAGGAGGAAGUCAGCAACUAACUGUCUCUCCAGCCUCCUGAUACCCAGGGAAGUAUUACAGGACUGUAAAGAUGGAGACAGAAGAGGACCUCCACCUACGACCCCUCACCUACAGGGGCCAGGAGGUGGUGAUGGCCCAUAAGAGCCUAAAUCUGCGGAGCUGUCUCCAUGCUUCCUUUUGUACCCACAGCAGCUCGUGUGAGACCAGAGUAACUUGUCACACGUGGCCACCAAAGGACUUGAGGCUACAUGCUGUGUACAUAAUAUGCACCAAAAGCUUGGUAUCAAAGGAGAAUAUAAAGCAUCUUGGUAACAGCUUUUUAUAGUGGUUACAUAUUGAAAUGAUAUUGCUGAUAAAUUGUGUUAAAUAAAACAUUACAAUUAAUUUACUUGUUUCCUUUUUUUUUUACUUUUUACAGAGCUGGGGAUUGAACUCUGCCUUCUCACUACCUCAUAAAGUGAGCAUGACAACUGAAAAACAAAUCAAACUAAUGAAAUUAAAACAUCACUUGCCUAACCUAGCAGGCUCUCAAUAAGUCACUAUCGGCGCCUAAGGUAGCCUUGCUUUCCUCCUGCCUCACCUUCCCCCAGUGCGUGAAUGAGAGGCUUGCACCUCUG